AUCCUUUCUUCCCCUUGGGUGGCAGAACAGAGGAGAUGGAGGACACAGCCCGCUAGGGCCUGCCCUCGCCGGGCUGUCGCCAGGGUGGGGACGAGCUCAUCAAGAGGAGGGCGGGGUGAAGCCUCACUUUAGAGGGGUGAAAACCGACCCAACCGCCUCUCCUCCGCGGAUGGGACGCUGUAAGGCUGCGUUCCCAGCCCCUGGGCUGCAGGCGGGUUCCAGUCUGCCGCCUGGCAGAAACCUGGCCUCACAGCAGAGGUGCGCGGCGGGUGACCCGGUGAAGCUCCACCGGUGUCUGCAGCCGCUCCCCGUCGCCGGCAUCGCUGCCUGAGCACGCCCUCCUGUCCGCCCGGGUGGAGGAUCAGCGGGAGAGAGGCGGCGUCCCUGCGGUACACUGCGCACGCGCGGGAUCCAGGCGGGGCUCGCGAGAGAACCUAAUACCCGACGAGCGGAGCGACCUGCUGGCGCUGGGGAGCGGCUGCAAAUAGACUGUCAUUAGCAGAGAGGUUCCACCGCCAUUCUCAGUGCUGCUUUGGUUUUUUCCCCUCACCUGCGCUCCCUGCCAGCAGCUGCUUUCUCCCGACUAAGCCAGCCAUCUUGAGAUUACCAAGGUGAUCCAGAGUGUCAUGAGGAACCUUAAACUGUGAAAGCAGAAACUGCAAUUUCUCGCUGCCUGUUUCUUUCCGUUGAUAAUUAGAUUUUCCAGAAUGAUCCUCAGCUCCUGGAUACAAGUCAGCACUCCCUGCCUCCACUGCUGCUCUGGAGCAGAAGACUGGACAUUGGCUGAGUUAAUCCCCUGAGAAAUCCAACAAACCUUCAUAAAUAAAUUCUGGUCCUUCUAUCAUCCAUCAUAUACAAAACAUGCAAAGUAAAGUAGAUUUUGUAGUCGUUGCUGAAAUGGACAUGGUGUGAACUCUGUCUCCGAUCUAUUUCCCUUAGGGAAUUUCAUAAUAUAUUGGAAAUUUCCAUCUUAGAAGCAGUGAUCUUGAUGGAUUUUGGCAAUCUGAACCAUGUAUUAAUUUAAU